rnacentral:rRNA from 1 species
GAGCGGUAGCACAGGAGAGCUUGCUCUCCGGGUGACGAGCGGCGGACGGGUGAGUAAUGUCUGGGAAACUGCCUGAUGGAGGGGGAUAACUACUGGAAACGGUAGCAAAUACCGCAUAACGUCUACGGACCAAAGUGGGGGACCUUCGGGCCUCACGCCAUCAGAUGUGCCCAGAUGGGAUUAGCUAGUAGGUGGGGUAAUGGCUCACCUAGGCGACGAUCCCUAGCUGGUCUGAGAGGAUGACCAGCCACACUGGAACUGAGACACGGUCCAGACUCCUACGGGAGGCAGCAGUGGGGAAUAUUGCACAAUGGGCGCAAGCCUGAUGCAGCCAUGCCGCGUGUGUGAAGAAGGCCUUAGGGUUGUAAAGCACUUUCAGCGAGGAGGAAGGGUUCAGUGUUAAUAGCACUGUGCAUUGACGUUACUCGCAGAAGAAGCACCGGCUAACUCCGUGCCAGCAGCCGCGGUAAUACGGAGGGUGCAAGCGUUAAUCGGAAUUACUGGGCGUAAAGCGCACGCAGGCGGUUUGUUAAGUCAGAUGUGAAAUCCCCGCGCUUAACGUGGGAACUGCAUUUGAAACUGGCAAGCUAGAGUCUUGUAGAGGGGGGUAGAAUUCCAGGUGUAGCGGUGAAAUGCGUAGAGAUCUGGAGGAAUACCGGUGGCGAAGGCGGCCCCCUGGA